rnacentral:rRNA from 1 species
GACUGCCGCUGAUAAAGCGGAGGAAGGUGGGGACGACGUCAAGUCAUCAUGGCCCUUAUGGUAGGGCUACACACGUGCUACAAUGGUCGGUACAGAGGGCUGCAAAACUGCGAGGUCAAGCAAAUCCCACAAAGCCGAUCGUAGUCCGGAUUGGAGUCUGCAACUCGACUCCAUGAAGUCGGAAUCGCUAGUAAUCGCGAAUCAGAAUGUCGCGGUGAAUACGUUCCCGGGCCUU